AUUGAACGCUGGCGGAAUGCUUUACACAUGCAAGUCGAGCGGCAGCGCGGGGGCGAACCCUGGCGGCGAGCGGCGAACGGGUGGGUAAUACAUCGGAACGUGUCCUUAAGUGGGGGAUAGCUCGGCGAAAGCCGGAUUAAUACCGCAUAAGCUCUGAGGAGGAAAGCGGGGGCUCCGUAAGGACCUCGCGCUGUUGGAGCGGCCGAUGUCGGAUUAGCUAGUUGGUGGGGUAAAGGCCCACCAAGGCGACGAUCCGUAGCUGGUCUGAGAGGAUGAUCAGCCACACUGGAACUGAGACACGGUCCAGACUCCUACGGGAGGCAGCAGUGGGGAAUAUUGCGCAAUGGGCGUAAGCCUGACGCAGCGACGCCGCGUGGGGA
rnacentral:rRNA from 1 species